rnacentral:rRNA from 1 species
UACGUAGGGGGCAAGCGUUGUCCGGAUUUAUUGGGCGUAAAGAGCUCGUAGGUGGUUCGGUAAGUCGGAUGUGAAAUCUCCAGGCUCAACCUGGAGGGGUCAUUCGAUACUGCCGUGACUAGAGGUCGGUAGGGGAGUGUGGAAUUCCUGGUGGAGCGGUGAAAUGCGCAGAUAUCGGGAGGAACACCAAUGGCGAAGGCAGCACUCUGGGCCGGUACUGACGCUGAGGAGCG